GAGGAACCGGGCGGGCAGUUCACCGCUUCCCUUCUUGUCUCCCGUCACUGCCAUCGGUUCUGCAUGGUGGAUAUUAUUUUUUGCUCCUCGUUCUUGGGUGAUAUGGGUGAUCAUUCCAAGCAGAAGCCUGGAACUGCUAUGUGUGUUGGCUGUGGGAGUCAGAUACAGGACCAGUACCUACUUAGAGUGUCCCCGGACCUGGAGUGGCACGCUGCGUGUCUGAAAUGCGCCGAAUGCAGUCAGUACCUGGAUGAAACAUGCACGUGCUUUGUCAGGGAUGGGAAGACGUACUGCAAAAGAGAUUAUAUCAGGUUGUUUGGAAUAAAAUGUUUUAAAUGUAACCUUGGCUUUAGUAGCAGUGACCUGGUGAUGAGAGCCCGAGACAACGUGUAUCAUAUCGAGUGUUUCCGGUGCUCCGUGUGCAGCAGACAGCUCCUGCCGGGAGAUGAGUUCUCCUUGCGGGAUGAGGAGCUGCUCUGCCGGGCUGACCAUAGGCUACUAAUGGAGCGCAGCUCCGCCGACAGCCCCGUCAGCCCAGAGCAUUUCCACUCGAACAGAGCUCUUCAUAUGGCAGAUCCCGUGGCAGUGAGGCAGCCGCCGCACCGAAAUGUCCAUAAGCAGUCCGAAAAGACGACUCGAGUGCGGACAGUGCUGAAUGAGAAGCAGCUGCACACGCUGCGAACGUGCUACAACGCCAACCCCAGGCCGGACGCCCUAAUGAAGGAACAGCUGGUGGAAAUGACCGGUCUCAGUCCGCGGGUUAUACGAGUCUGGUUUCAGAAUAAGCGCUGCAAAGACAAGAAGCGAUCCAUUCUAAUGAAGCAGUUACAGCAGCAACAACACAGCGACAAAGCGAAUCUGCAGGGCCUGACGGGGACGCCCCUUGUGGCAGGGAGUCCCGUCAGACACGACAGCACCGUCCAGGCCAGUCCGGUGGAGGUGCAGACCUAUCAGCCCCCGUGGAAGGCUCUCAGCGAGUUUGCCCUUCAGAGUGAUCUGGACCAGCCUGCAUUUCAACAGCUGGUGUCUUUCUCAGAAGCGGGUUCCUUGGUCAACUCGUCGGGCAGCGACGUUACAUCUCUGUCUUCCCAGCUACCAGACACGCCAAACAGCAUGGUGCCCAGCCCGGUGGAGACGUGAAGCGGGCGACCGACGUCGAGCCCUGACCAUCUUAGCAUGUUCCCGCUACCUGCAUGAGAAAUCAACAGCGCAUCAUAAAGGGGGAAGCGAGGCACGUUCCGAAUAACGGACUGGCUGGACGACUACGGAGUUGCGGAAAACAGAGCAAUGCUUAACACACAGAUUCCUUUGUCUUCCAAGGAUAUGGGAUGUCUGGAAAAUGUGCCCGAAUAUAUUACUGCAUCAACAUUAUCCAGAAGGAGGGACAGAUAAAUCUUUGAGGAUUUACAAAUCAAUCAACGGCUAUUGACUACGAGCCACUGACUCUUCUGUACUGAAUCUAUAUGAACUUAAAAAAAAUAUCACAGUCAUCGUUGUGUUGUUUACGCAACUUUUUAUUUCAUCACUUUGAUUUCAUUGAAGUCCAAAGCCACUUGUGCUUGUCUCUCUGCGCAUGAUAUCCGAAGACAAUAAAAAGCUACUCUGAUUGUAAAAUAUUUUAUCUUAAGAGACGGAGGAGAGAUUGUUUGAGCUGCUCAAAGAGAAGACGCGGCACCGCAGUGGACCGAGGGGCCCAAGCUGGUAAACCCACCCUGGAGUAUCCUCCGUUUAUUUUCAAUACGAUCAGAAUCCGGCUUGUGAAUCGCCUCCGGACACGGAGUCCCCAGGUCAGCCUGGACUGGCUUUUCAGGCCUCAAAAGAUUUGCUCCCGAGGAUGGGUUUGACUGCAGCGAAUAGCGGAGUAAUUAAAAAAAAAAACCCGGACAACUCCAACGCAUUAAUGGACACUGAACAUCAAGGUUCACAUUCAUUGCCUGAAUAAUUACAACACCAUAUAGUCAUUUUGAUUUAAGGUGAUGCUGGACA